AAAUCUCUAUUAAUGAUANACUAGUGAAUUUAUUAAGGGGGUGCAAAAUCCCCNCCGGUAAAUAAUAGACGAGAAGACCCUAGAAANUUUGUAAGAUAUGUUAAAANUCACUUUUUGUUGGGGCAACAUCGUAGCAUUUAACCUACAGUANACAACACGACANUGUUCUAGUAAGAUAAAAUUACUCUAGGGAUAACAGCGUAAUNUUUCAAGAGUUUGCGACCUCGAUGUUGGACUAGGAAGCUCACGCUUAGAAGGCAAAUAGCUAUGCUCUGUUCGAGCNAAAAGAUCCUACGUGAUCUGA
rnacentral:rRNA from 1 species